rnacentral:tRNA from 1 species
GCUCCAGUGGCGCAAGCGGUUUGCGCGCCGUACUUAUAAUGCGGAGGUUGUGAGUUCGAGCCUCACCUGGAGCA